GAUGAACGCUGGCGGCGUGCCUAAUACAUGCAAGUCGAGCGAACAGACGAGGAGCUUGCUCCUCUGACGUUAGCGGCGGACGGGUGAGUAACACGUGGAUAACCUACCUAUAAGACUGGGAUAACUUCGGGAAACCGGAGCUAAUACCGGAUAAUAUAUUGAACCGCAUGGUUCAAUAGUGAAAGACGGUUUUGCUGUCACUUAUAGAUGGAUCCGCGCCGCAUUAGCUAGUUGGUAAGGUAACGGCUUACCAAGGCAACGAUGCGUAGCCGACCUGAGAGGGUGAUCGGCCACACUGGAACUGAGACACGGUCCAGACUCCUACGGGAGGCAGCAGUAGGGAAUCUUCCGCAAUGGGCGAAAGCCUGACGGAGCAACGCCGCGUGAGUGAUGAAGGUCUUCGGAUCGUAAAACUCUGUUAUUAGGGAAGAACAAAUGUGUAAGUAACUAUGUACGUCUUGACGGUACCUAAUCAGAAAGCCACAGCUAACUACGUG
rnacentral:rRNA from 1 species